rnacentral:misc_RNA from 1 species
AUAUCAUAUAUUGUAGUUUGUACGUAAGGUUCGACGAUGGUUCGUCUUAGCAUCGCUUUCCUUUCCGGUACCCUUCGAGCGACACGGUUACGUAACGAGAGGGUCCGUUUCCGGCGUCGAUUAGAUAGCGGUGAGACACUGAAAAGGCACAGAAAGAAACCAGUUUUUAAGGAGUGUCGUUAAGAGAAACGUUUCUGUCCCAAGCAGCGACAUUAAAUGUAAAUUUACGAUGUUCCGACGUUAACUUCAUUGAAAUAUAUCUUCCGCUAACACGGCAUUUUACAAGCUGUGUUUUAGAUAACUUUGCUUUCCGGAAGAGAAUCAAGACUCUUCCGUCGCUAAACGGUUUUCAGUGAAGAUCGAGACCUAGCAUUUUGUAUCCAUUACAAAAAUUAACGUGCGUCCUUAAUAUAAGUCGAGGUCUUCGUAGCAGCCGCUGGCAGAUCAAUAUUUAACACAAUAUACGCACGACCGACAUGCGAGGUCUCUUCAAGAUAAAAGCCGCGAAACGAUGGCCCUGUAGCGAUUAAAACAGCUGACACUUACACGCCCGUUUAGAUACGAGACCGAAUCUCGAGUACGACUUAAUUUAUUUAAUUUAUUUAACUGUUAUUGAUUCUACGCCAAAUGCUCUGUAUGUACGAGCUAUUCAUGUGGAAAUCUUCGACAUGAGUUGCUCGAUAGUAGUUUCUCUUCGAUGUACAUGCACGAAUGGCGACUGUGUAAAUGAACGAUGACUGAAACGGGUAUGGGUUUUGAAUGUACAAUUCAAUUAUAACGAAUUUUGAUUAACUAGCUCCUUAGGGAUGUCAGAUAAUCAAAAAGUCACCAAAAAAAGCGAUUAAAAGUAUUUAUUUAUAAAAUCGUUUCGACUUCUUUUAUUCCAUACUUCGCCACUUUUGCAAAUAUCACAUUUCCUAUAUGUAAACAGCAGAGUAUCGCGUAACAUACUACGUUAUCACAGUGCGUCAUCGUUCUAUUCGGUAUGUCGAAUAAUAGUUUCGGUAGUCUAAAAUCUAUACAAUGCCGAACGUUUAUUUAUUAACAGCCAUUUCAUCCGAUUUUCAGCGGACUUGUCGUCAAGGAACAACGAUAAUUUCCACUUUAAAAAAGAAUACCGUAAUGUCGCAUCCAUGACCGUAAUUACUUUCAGAGGUAACAAAAAAUCCUUGAAUGUUUAUCUACAAUAAUUCUUACGAUCGUCACCUUGAUCCUUAUCGUCUUAUUAUCGAAACGCGUAAAAAGAAGCUCACGAAAUGCAAUUUACACCCCUGUAAAAGCGUUUCAUCUAUCAAUUCGCACAUAAAGAUUAAACGAAUACAUUCGUUGUUUUCAGAUUCGAUAAGUUGUCUAGCUGUCACCGUAAACACAUUAAUCAUGCUCAAAUACGAAUGGUAUUGCCAUCUAAUUGCAACCAAACAUUACAUCGACGACGAUCUUAUCUCGUAAAAAUAGGAGCACGUCCUUGGUCAAACUCGUUCGUACUUUCCUCGCUCGAUAAUUAUUAGCUCGUUACGGACAUUGUUACAAAAUGUGCAGAACCUAACGAAAUAAGGAUAAUUUUGGAAUAAUAGAAAAAUAUGGGCUGCCCGCAUACGCGAGUAUCGUCUACGAUAUCCUUAUAGUGUUUGACGUCAUAGAUGGUUAACGGAAUGAAUAAUUUGGUGUUUCCAAUUACGACAAUGAUCAGGUGCAGAAAUCGUUUAGAACAAGGCUACAUGGACCGACCAGUCUUCCAGGAUGGACACUACAGAAGUUGAGUUCAAGUUUGGCAAAUGGCUCGUCGAACGGAUCCUCGAAAGAAGUCAGACAAGGAAGAUAAAAGCAAAGGGAAAAACGGAAACGAGAAAUCACCGAACAAUACCCGGAGUCAGAUAACAGCACGGAGAGGCGACGUACGUAGGUGGGGAACACGAGACACACGAUGUGGAAUAAAUAGUGGCCUGAAAUCGAGCGGAAUUCAGUCGCACCGCUGUUGUACCAUCGUCGUUCGCGUUUUAUAUUCACGAGGAACUCGUCAGAGGUCAUCGUGAAGUCAUCUAGUCCUACGUAACAGUAAGGAUAGGUACCGAUCGAUAAGCGUACCGGCGAGCCGAUAUUCCCUGGUUAGCUUCAGACUUGCCGGAUAACCUGUCCAGUUGAAGCACCGCGUUCGAAUUCAUGUUCCCGUCGUCGUAGUCGAAGGAUGAUGCUGCAAGUGUUGCUCCUGCUGGCCCGUACGCUGCUCGUCGACGCGUUCUUUUUCGGCUUUCUACCGAACGCGCCCAAAGACGAAGGCAAACAGGAGUUGGACAUUUACUGGAACGUGCCUACCUUUAUGUGCCAUAAGUACGGACUGCGAUUCGAGGAGGUGUCGGAGAAAUACGGGAUCCGACAGAACGCGAUGGAUCAAUUUCGCGGCGAUCAGAUCGCGAUCCUUUACGAUCCUGGAAUGUUCCCGGCAUUGAUGAAGGACUCGACGGGGAACGUAGUGGAGAGAAACGGUGGUGUCCCGCAACAAGGCAACCUCACCAAGCAUCUCGAAGUGUUUCGGGAACAUCUGAUCAAUCAGAUACCGGACGAGUCGUUUCACGGUGUCGGGGUGAUCGAUUUCGAGAGUUGGAGACCGAUCUUCCGUCAGAAUUGGGCUUCCCUCCAGCCGUACAAGAAACUCUCCAUAGACAUCGUACGCCGGGAGCAUCCGUUCUGGGACAGCCGGAGCGUGGAACAGGAGGCGAAACGCAGAUUCGAGAAGUACGGUAAACUUUUUAUGGAGGAGACGUUGAAAGCUGCCAAAGAAAACAGACCGUCCGCCCGUUGGGGCUACUACGCUUACCCUUACUGCUACAAUCUGACGCCGAAUCAACCUAGUUCUCAGUGCGAUAGCGCCACGGUCCAGGAGAACGACAAACUGUCAUGGUUGUUCGAGCUAGAAGACGUUCUUUUUCCCUCGGUUUACUUGAGGCUGAGUCUGACCAGCGGCCAAAGAGUCGGCCUAGUCGGGGGUAGAGUGAAAGAAGCUUUGAGAAUAGCGAAGCAAACGACGACCAGGAAAAGGGUUUUGCCCUAUUACUGGUACAAGUACCAGGAUCAAAGGGACACGUAUCUGAAUAAGGCUGAUCUCGAGGCCACUCUACGAAAGAUCUGGGAUCUCGGCGCGGACGGUCUAGUGAUCUGGGGAAGCUCUAACGACAUCAACACCAAGCAAAAGUGUCUGGAGUUCAGAGAAUACCUGAACAACGAUUUGGGACCUGCAGUCGAACGUAUUAGGCAAACCGCCACGAACCAAAGCCAGUAUAGCGGCAAUUUCACGGACAAUCGGGUCGACGUGAGCGUCGAUCAGGUCUGACGGCGACAAAGAAGCUACGGGUCCUUUCGCAACGGGGCGAAGUGUCAGGAGAGAAAUUGUAAAGAGGAUCGUUUAGUUUCUUAGGCGUGCGAUUACCAUACGUGACGUACACGGAGGAGUUGUUCGACCUUCGAAAUAGAAAGACGAGGUGUGUUCGCGAAACCAAAACCGUCUGAAACCAAAGACUAGUCGAGACUCGAUAACGAAGAAAUAAAUUUCCUAUGAAACUGUCGCCUCUUUCAUUCCGUCCGACUCGGAAGCGGUUCCGAUUUAAAGUAGAAUAAGAUUCUUUCCUCGAGUAUCGUUGUUCGGAUGUCCGUCGCCAUAGGAGGGCAACGGAGAAACUGGCGAUCGGAGAGGUUCGACGACGAACGGCGCUUUAGCACUAGUAUAUACGACAAGUUUUACUGGUUCGAGGUGUAAGGCCUCGGGCGAUCUUGCUUUUUACAGAGUACACGCGACGUCGUUGUAGAGGAUACCUGGAGAAACUGGGAGAACGAGAAAGAGAGAGAACGGAACGGGAACGGCGCGGAACCGAACGUACCGAGUAGAAGGAGGAGC